rnacentral:ncRNA from 1 species
GAGAGCCUGGUGCCGGGAAACUGGCACGCCAGGUUCGGAGGAGCAGCCACGGGAAACGGACCCACCGCAAGGUGGACACCGCGCCCGUGGUCGACUCCCAC